AAAAAGAAGUCACGAUUUUCCCUCCAUUUUCUUUUCUCGUUGCAUUUCUAUCUCCUAACAGAAAUUCCACUACAAGCCCAGUGGCCGGGGCAAGUCGGGUUCGUGCCUUGCGGAAAGCUCUCUCGCCCGUUUCUCAGAGAAAGAGAAAGAGACAAUGGAAGAACCCUUAAAAGGCAGGCCAGGAGUUAGGGUCUCUAUAUUUGAUUGUUCAAUAGAGAAUCAUUUUAGGGCGAUGGAUACAAUCUCUAAGCUUUGUGAAGAGCCUGAGAGUGAUGGUCCUAAUGAAACUGAUAUUCAGCGAUUCUCUUCUUCAAUCACUUUCUUAAGGGAAUGGAGGCAUUUCAAUUAUGAACCGAGGAUCAUUAAGUUUGCUAGUGAAGUAGGAGACUCACAGGGUAAAGAUGUUUCUGAUGGCAUACAGUUACCUCAAUUUUCAUCAGCAACUGUUCUCAAGCAACAGGAAGGACUAAAUGGAAACAAAGCAUCUCCAGAAUCCUGCAAGGACUUCGUGAUGUAUGUUGGAGGGUCUGUUUGGGCAUUAGAUUGGUGUCCUAGAGUUCAUGAGAAUCCUAACAGUACUGUCAAAUGUGAGUUCAUCGCUGUCGCUGCUCAUCCUGCUGAUUCUUAUUAUCACAAGAUAGGUACCCCACUUACUGGUAGAGGCAUCAUUCAAAUAUGGUGUAUGCUAAAUGUUGGGGUGAAGGAGGAAGAGGCUCCUCUUUCAAAGAAAAAACCAAAAUGGAGAUCUCAAAAUACAGAAGCCAUGGAGGAGAGCCCAUCAAAGAGGCCUAGAGGAAGACCUAGAAAGAAUCCAAUCGAUGAAUCUCAACCAGAUCAGGUUAAGAGGCCAAAAGGUAGGCCUAGAAAGAAACCAAUUGGUGAAUCUCUUCAUGAUGAUCAGAAUGAACAGUCUUUCCAGCCUCUUGCUGUUCAGUACCCAGAAGGUUCUUUUGAGCCAGUUGCUAUAGACACUGCUCUUGGAAAUACACAGGAAAAUGCUCCAAAUAAGAACCAUCAUGAAAAAGAAAGAGGUGACAAAGAGACAGCAUUUAUGUCUGAUGCAACCCCUACGACUUCUGUGCAGAGUAGAAAAUUGAAAAGUAAGGCGUGCACAAAAACUAAUAGUGAUGGUAAAUGUCUCCCAUUAUUGACUCAAAAUGAAGGAACGGGAUCUUCUUUUACAAUAAACCAACAAAUUCACUACAACUCUGGGCAGGAAGCUAUGGUGCACAAUAAUAUUUUAGAUAGUAAUUUGUUGGAGACCCCAGGUUCUUCCAUUCCAAGGGAUAUUGAACUGCCAAGAACUGUCCUCUGCCUAGCACACAAUGGAAAAGUUGCUUGGGAUGUAAAAUGGCAGCCUUAUGACAUAAAUGGUUGUGAGUGCAAUCAUCGGAUGGGCUAUCUUGCUGUCUUACUGGGAAAUGGAUCUCUGGAAGUGUGGGAGGUUCCUCUUCCUAGUAUGAUCAGAAUUGUUUAUUCAUCUUCACCUAAGCAGGGUACCGAUCCUCGCUUUGUAAAAUUGGAGCCAGUUUUCAAGUGCUCAAAGUUAAAAUGUGGUGAUGUACAGAGCAUCCCUUUGACAGUUGAGUGGUCAACCUCACCUCCACACAAUUACUUACUAGCUGGGUGCCAUGAUGGAAAGGUUGCUUUGUGGAAGUUCUCUGCAAGUGGUUCACCUACAGAUACAAGACCUCUACUUUGUUUUAGUGCAGAUACAGUUCCAAUUAGAUCGGUUGCAUGGGCCCCAUCUGGAAGUGACAUGGAGAGUGCAAAUGUUGUUCUUACUGCUGGACAUGGAGGUCUAAAGUUUUGGGACAUACGUGAUCCAUUCCUUCCCUUGUGGGAUGUCCAUCCAGCACCAAAGUUCAUAUAUAGCUUGGAUUGGCUGCCAGAACCAAGAUGUGUUAUUCUAUCCUUCGAUGAUGGAACAAUGAAAAUGCUCAGCUUAAUUCAGGCAGCAUGUGAUGUACCUGUCACUGGAAAACCUUUCACUGGGACCAAGCAACAAGGACUGCACCUUUAUAAUUGUUCAUCAUUUGCUAUCUGGAAUGUACAAGUGUCACGAUUAACAGGCAUGGUUGCAUAUUGCGGUGCAGAUGGUAAUGUUACCCGCUUUCAGCUUACAUCGAAAGCAGUGGACAAAGAUUUUUCACGAAAUCGAGCCCCACAUUUUGUCUGUGGAUCCUUGACUGAGGAGGAAUCUGCUAUAGUAGUUAACACUCCAUUACCAGAUAUUCCUUUGACGUUGAAGAAGCAGACUAAUGAUUAUGGAGAGGGCCCAAGAUCCAUGCGGGCCUUCUUAACUGAGUCAAAUCAGGCUAAAAAUGCAAAGGAUAAGAAGGCAAAAGUUCCAACUCCUGACAAAAGAACUUUCGCCCUUUGUUAUGGCAAUGAUCGUGGAGUGGAAUCUGAAUCUGAGGAAACCUUAACCUUGGCAGCUCUUAAAGGCAAAAUAAAACAAAAAUCAAAGAGUGACAGGACGAAGAAAGCAGGUGACGAUCAAGCAUUGGCAGUCAGGAUUAAUGAACCGAGAAAUACACAGAAAGAGGAAGCUGGGUAUGAAAUAGAAGUAUUUCCUCCCAAGAUUGUGGCGAUGCAUAGAGUGAGAUGGAACAUGAACAAGGGUAGUGAGAGGUGGCUGUGCUAUGGAGGAGCAGCUGGGAUUGUUCGAUGCCAAGAGAUUAUAGUGCCUGAUGUUGCCAAGAAAUCAGCAAGAAAAAGUUAAAAAGGGCUUAGGAGCUUCAACAUUUUGGCGAGGUCAACUGGCAACGCUGAAGGUGUGCCUUGUUUUACUUGGAUUUGUGAUUAAGGGGGAAGAACAUGGUCAUCCUUAACUUUAUCUUGUACCUCUAUGGUGGCAACAACCACAUUUUCUUCAAAUCAACCUCCCCAGGUCCAAUAUUCACAUCUACAUAGACAUUGUGGUUUUAUCGCAAUCACAGAUGCUUGUUGAGAAGAACAGCUAUGAGGAGCUAACCGGGGAGGGUGACCAAGGAUUUCUCUAAGGUAAUUAAGGAUGCUGAAAACUUUGUAAAUACAAUCAACUUAAUUAGAGUCUUACCCUGUAUGUGACUUUCUUGGAGCCAUCAUACUGGUCUCAGUCGAUAAAAAACACAAUGUAGAUGUUUUUUGUUUUUUAUUGUAAUCUCAACUUAUAAGUCAAUCAAAUGUCAAUUAUAGAACACAUACCUCACACAAUUACUAAUUGAAUUUAAUUACA